rnacentral:rRNA from 1 species
CCUACGGGUGGCAGCAGUGAGGAAUAUUGGUCAAUGGGCGAGAGCCUGAACCAGCCAAGUCGCGUGAAGGAUGACGGCCCUACGGGUUGUAAACUUCUUUUGUCAGGGAGCAAUUGGGUCCACGCGUGGGCUUAGCGAGAGUACCUGAAGAAAAAGCAUCGGCUAACUCCGUGCCAGCAGCCGCGGUAAUACGGAGGUGGCAAGCGUUAUCCGGAUUUAUUGGGUGUAAAGGGCGUGUGGGCGGGAGCGCAAGUCAGAUGUGAAAACUCUGGGCUCAAGCCUGGGCCUGCAUUUGAAACUGGGUUUCUGGAGUGCUGGAGAGGCGAUCGGAAUUCCGGGUGUAGCGGUGAAAUGCGUAGAUAUACGGAGGAACACCAGUGGCGAAGGCGGAUUGCUGGACAGUAACUGACGCUGAGGUGCGAAAGCGUGGGGAGCAAACAGGAUUAGAUACCCGUGUAGUC